rnacentral:rRNA from 1 species
GACGAACGCUGGCGGCGUGCCUAAUACAUGCAAGUAGAACGCUGAAGGAGGAGCUUGCUUCUCUGGAUGAGUUGCGAACGGGUGAGUAACGCGUAGGUAACCUGCCUGGUAGCGGGGGAUAACUAUUGGAAACGAUAGCUAAUACCGCAUAAGAGUAGAUGUUGUAUGACAUUUGCUUAAAAGGUGCAAUUGCAUCACUACCAGAUGGACCUGCGUUGUAUUAGCUAGUUGGUGGGGUAACGGCUCACCAAGGCGACGAUACAUAGCCGACCUGAGAGGGUGAUCGGCCACACUGGGACUGAGACACGGCCCAGACUCCUACGGGAGGCAGCAGUAGGGAAUCUUCGGCAAUGGACGGAAGUCUGACCGAGCAACGCCGCGUGAGUGAAGAAGGUUUUCGGAUCGUAAAGCUCUGUUGUAAGAGAAGAACGAGUGUGAGAGUGGAAAGUUCACACUGUGACGGUAGCUUACCAGAAAGGGACGGCUAACUACGUG